UACAUCACCGGCGGACGGGUGCGUAACACGUGGGAAUAUACCUUUUGGUUCGGAACAACGCAGGGAAACUUGCGCUAAUACCGAAUGUGCCCUUACGGGGAAAGAUUUAUCGCCCAGGGAUGAGCCCGCGUAGGAUUAGCUAGUUGGUGUAGUAAAGGUGCACCAAGGCGACGAUCCUUAGCUGGUCUGAGAGGAUGAUCAGCCACACUGGGACUGAGACACGGCCCAG
rnacentral:rRNA from 1 species